GCCAGUGUGACGUAGUGGUUUGAGUGUUAGACUAUGACUCUGGAGACCAGGGUUUGAUUCCUGACUCAGCUG